rnacentral:rRNA from 1 species
UACGUGGGUGGCAAGCGUUGUCCGGAAUUAUUGGGCGUAAAGCGCGCGCAGGCGGUCCUUUAAGUCUGAUGUGAAAGCCCACGGCUCAACCGUGGAGGGUCAUUGGAAACUGGGGGACUUGAGUGCAGAAGAGGAAAGCGGAAUUCCACGUGUAGCGGUGAAAUGCGUAGAGAUGUGGAGGAACACCAGUGGCGAAGGCGGCUUUCUGGUCUGUAACUGACGCUGAGGCGCGAAAGCGUGGGGAGCGAACAGG